ACUGCAGUGUGUGCACUUCAAGU
rnacentral:miRNA from 1 species